UCUCUUUUUAGGUUUAGCUUUUGGGUUUAGGGUUGCCAUUGGUUUCGGGUAGUCCGUUACCUUUUGUUUCAAUGUCUAGGUUUGCAUGUUAUUGGCAAAUUAAGGUUAGACUUAUUUUUUUCUCACAUUUUUUUCAUGUUUUAAUCAUUUGCUCAUUUUUGGUUUUUAGUUUGUUUAUUUUUAAUUAAAUUGAACAGUUUUACUUGCCUGGUGUUGUUGGAAUUGGCGAGGAUGAUUUUAACGUUGUUAAGGACAGUGUUUUAGGUGUUAUCCCGCUUGGACCUGGUCUUGUCUCUGUUGUUACAAUCACUCUUACUGGUGCUUUUGUGUUUAUUGCUAAGGCUUUAGUUAUUUCAUCGUGUAUUAUUGUAGAGGCUGUUGGUGUUGUUGUUGUUGUUGAAGACGAUGAUUGUUGUAAUUGUGUUUGUUGUAUUAUUUGUUGACCGUGAUUGAAAAUGUUUAAUGAUUGGUGGUGUGGUUGUAUCUGAUUACCUGUAAUACUUUGAAUUACAGGCACAACUGCUACAAUUGUAUCACCAAUUGUUGCUGUUGUUGUUGUUAAAGAUGAUGUUUCUUUAAUUACUGAAAUAUCUUUUGUACUCAAGGUAUAAACACUAUUCACAUUAUUAACCUGAUCGCUGCAAAUCAACUUAACGUCGCUACUUUCCUCAAUAUCUUUACAGUCAACAUUAUUAUUCUCAUUAAUGAUCUUUUCAAAUUGUUGUCAAUAAUGAUUUCAUUAUCAUGAACAAUUACCUCAGUAGGUAUAACUGUUGUUGAAGUAACCUCUUCAGAAUGAUCAUGACUAGCACCAUUACUGGAAUUAUUAUUAUUGGCAGUUUGGUCAGCUGGCGUAGUUACCGUCGAUGAGGAUGAAGAUGAUUUAUUACGAGCACUGGAACGGCGAUUUCUAGCACUCAUAAUUAAUUAAUAAUCAAUUGGAUUGAUAAAAAUGAGUUUAAGCUUAUGUAUAAAACCCGAAAGAAAGGUUCAGGCUUAACCAGAAUGGCUUUAACUUUCUGUACGAAAUGGACAAGGUUGUGGUUAAUUUCAUUUAACACUGUUAACGGACAAGUAAAAUAACAAUUGGCAACAACAAUGAAGGAACAAUAACGAUGAUUAAUUAAUUGUUAACAAAUAACAACAACAGCAACAUGGAGAAAUACAAAUUGGAAUGAAAUUUGGUUUUUUUCAAUCAACUAAAGAGAUGGAAGGAGAAAAAAAAGCAAAGCAAAAAGAAGAAGAAAAAGAAAUGAAAUUAUCUUUUAAUUAACAUGAGAUUUGAAUGAUGAGGAUGAGGAUGAACAUGUCUGGUAACAUAUUGCAAGGAUAACAACCUCAUAACAAUAUAGUUGCUUAGUUAACCUGGAAUCAGGUCACAUAGAGAUAUUUAACCGAUCGAUAAUAUUGGAGUUGAAUAUAACAACCAACUGGGAAUGAUAAACUCACUCCAAACCAGGAAACACAGCAAAAAUGAUGAUAAUAUUUUACAAGAGACACAAUAUUACAUCUUCCUGAAUGCUGAUCAUCAUCUCAUUAAAGAUACAUUUGUGAUUUAUAAAAUAUAUGUAAAGUUGCAACUUUGAAACAAUCUUGAAGCUUGCUUUUUAACUUUCAUUUUUACUUCGCAUUUAUCCAGUUUAUUGCAAUCAUUUUGAUCCAAAUUGAAACUUGUCUUAAUCUGGUUAAACUGCUAUUUCAAUUUGGAAAAAAAUCAAUUCUAAAUUGUUGAACUUACCAAUUCAUAUUGUAUUCAAUUUGUAAGUCGCUCUUCUGAUUGCUUUGGUUGUUGAGCUUUGGAUUUUUGUCUCAAAUCACUUUUCAAUCAAGUCGAUUGAAUUUUAUUAAUUACUGGUUAUUGGGUUGAGCUGAAUGGGAAUCUCACAAUUAACACAAUUGCUUUGUUGUUUGGCUUGAUUGCUGAGUUAUCGUUAUUUUGGGUUACAUUUGGGUUUGCAAUUUGUAAAAUUAAUUUCAACUGUGAUUAACAAAAGUAUCAUUAAACAUAAUAAACAUUGGGAUUGAAAA